ensembl:lncRNA
CUGCCCGAGAGCGCCGGGAGGAGCGGGGAACCACCCCACGCCGGCUGGGAAGAAUAAUAUAUACUGACGAUGCUGCAGUUCGGUGCCCAAGCACAGCAAGGAGUGCCUUUGCCUUCCCCAGCUUGAAGCAGCAACUCUGAGCCAUGCAAAACCAGGCCACUGCACAACACUGGGUCAUGCAGCCAGUGACUGUAAGAGUUGUCUUAGUGUGAAAAAUCAGGCCCAGGGAUUCAGUGCUAAGGUAUAUAAAUGGCAUUCUUUAUUUAUUUGGGCUGUUACGCAUGCCUUAGUCAGGCAGCUGUAAAUAAGGUUUUAUCUUGCUGCUUUCAGGCUGUCGUCCUGGAGGAGCAGCUCAGGACUGUGGGAAUUCCUGGGCUGUUUGUUCACUCAUGAUUUUGGAAAGGCAAAUUCUGUAACUUCAGGAGCUGUCUUCCUCAUGUUUAACCCAUGCCUUCAGAUCAUGGGAGGGAGAGUCUGCUUCCACUGAAAUCCACUCCUUGCUGGGUGAGGACAUGGUGAGCUUCAGAGCGUGGGAAAUUCCUCUCGUGUCGCAGCACAGGCUUCAACUGAGGGAAGGAGCUCGAAGGCAUUUUGUUUAAUUGAUAACAACCGCGACAGGCCAACUGUUUGCUUUUACUAUUCUCCUGCCUUCAACGUUUAACUUCUGUUUCACUAACCAGGCAGUAAACCCCAGGAGUGAAAAUAACCCCCCACCUAACUUCUAGCCACUUUUAUUUGGGUCCGUGGCGCGGUAGUGCUGUUGUGUCUGGGGGGGAACCAGCUGGAUAGAGCUGCAGCCUCCCGAGGGCUUACUGUCAUCUCUCACAGAUGUUCCUGUCAGGAGACAAAAUAGAGGAUGAUACCAGAUCUUUCAUUUCAAUGCCUGAGUUUGUUGCUGUUUAUUAAAGAGGACCACCUGACUGCAUGUUUUGUGCACCAGGUGCACAUCAUUCAGCAGUGCUGCCGUCUGUUUCACUCAAAGCACUAUUUCAGAAAGUUAAGUAUGCAGUAAAAGAAGCCUUCAUCUUAUCGGCUCAGAUUCAUGGAAAGGGAAGAAGUGAGGAGAGAUCACUUGGAACACUGGGGAACUCAUUUUUUCUCCCAGGAUGAACUGAAAAUCUUGCUUGGUACCACUCAAGAUGCAUGCAGAAAAAUCUGGGGUGUGAAACGCAUAACAAAUCCCCACCAUCCCUGCAAGAGAAAUGAUAAAAAGCCCUUCUCCUCGAAGGGAGCAGCGUAAAAUUGGCCAUAAAGUAUGUAGAUGGUUUGUGGUGGUGCAGACUGUG